CGUGUCAUUGUUGUAUUAGAAUUCUCUUGUUUUAGAUUCUCAUUCUUCGUUAUUUUAAAAAACGGUUCGGUUCGAAACGGUUUCGAAAAACAAAUUACAAUUAUAAGAUUAGGUGCAUUUGGGUAGUUCCUACCAUUUUUAAAAACUUCUUUUAAAAUUAUAUUUAUAGUUUGUGAAUAAUAAUAUCAUGUACACACGUACCUACGUUUGGUUUAUUUAUGAUUGCUAUUAUUUUUAACAUUUGGCUACUUUUAAAUAUCAUCAAAUGUUGACUAAAACGAUAAAAGUAGUUUUAUACGGUAAUUUCCCGAAGAGUUGGCCACAUCAUACGAUCGGGCAACGACAUAUAUAUUUACAUAUAACGAUCGCAGAACACACGACCGAAGAGCGCUAAGGUGCUCUGCGAACUGUAGAGGCACGCAUUGGCCAUAGUCCCAAUACGCCCCGUAGGGCCAUCGCCCAUCAGUGUGAUCAGUCGAUACUCGGCAGCAGAACUGUGCGCCUCUGACGCAAACUUUCGCGCUCGUCUACGUCUUGAUUGUUUACAAUGAACCAAUGCCCGGUGGAUCGUUUCUCUACGUGAAUCGUACCUUCUGCUGCUUCUCAUGUGAAUUUGCUAGUAACCUUUUGACAAGAGGGUACCACCACAAUAUGCGUCGAAAGGUAUUGCAUGUGUUUCUAUAUUAUAUGUAUGGAUACGUAUCCAUAACAUACAAAAUACAAUACCACGUGUCUUUUUAAAAUAUUUGAUCAAUGUAGAAACAUCAAACUAGUAAUAUUCCCGAGUCACAUUAUAUUGGUCUAUCAAGUGUAAACUCGAGAAUAAAAUGAUGUACCUACGUAUCGUGUUUCAUUGAUGAUGUGAUUUCACUGAACUGGCCGGUAGAGGACUUGUUAAUAAUGUGACCGGACGGUUGACAUUGCGUUGCGAGCCGCGUUUGGUGUCCGGUGUUCACGAUUUCUGAAUUGGACAAAAAGCUUUACCUCGGCGGCAUUCCGGCGGCGGCGGAGAGCCGUCGGCAGGCCGGCCAUGCCAAAGCGUUUGGACAGUUCAUAGUUAUACAUUGCGGACUAAGUCAUGGAUUCCCGUUUGAUGGAACACGGUACGACGUAGAUCAAGAGGAAUGAAAUCGGGCGGGAAGCGCGAAGGUACCACGCUGCUGCCGGACCAGACGUACGAGGCAGUGGAGUGCCGACCGCGUCGCCCGCCCCGUCCGAGCCGCCCGUUCCGCCCACGCCGACAUCG